rnacentral:rRNA from 1 species
GGGGAAUCUUGCGCAAUGGCCGAAAGGCUGACGCAGCGACGCCGCGUGUGGGAGGAAGCUCUUCGGGGUGUAAACCACUGUUGCCCGGGACGAACAUCCACUUUCGAGUGGACUGACGGUACCGGGUGAGGAAGCACCGGCUAACUCUGUGCCAGCAGCCGCGGUAAUACAGAGGGUGCGAGCGUUGUCCGGAAUCACUGGGCGUAAAGGGCGCGUAGGUGGCCCGGUCAGCGUGCGGUGAAAGCUCGGGGCUCAACCCCGAGUCGGCCGUGCGAACUACUGGGCUGGAGCACUGUAGAGGCAGGCGGAAUUCCGGGUGUAGCGGUGGAAUGCGUAGAGAUCCGGAAGAACUCCGGUGGCGAAGGCGGCCUGCUGGGCAGUGGCUGACACUGAGGCGCGACAGCGUGGGGAGCAAAC